rnacentral:rRNA from 1 species
UGGGGAAUAUUGGACAAUGGGCGCAAGCCUGAUCCAGCCAUGCCGCGUGUGUGAAGAAGGCCUUUUGGUUGUAAAGCACUUUAAGCGAGGAGGAGGCUACUUGGAUUAAUACUCUAGGAUAGUGGACGUUACUCGCAGAAUAAGCACCGGCUAACUCUGUGCCAGCAGCCGCGGUAAUACAGAGGGUGCGAGCGUUAAUCGGAUUUACUGGGCGUAACGCGUGCGUAGGCGGCUUCUUAAGUCGGAUGUGAAAUCCCUGAGCUUAACUUAGGAAUUGCAGUCGAUACUGGGAAGCUAGAGUAUGGGAGAGGAUGGUAGAAUUCCAGGUGUAGCGGUGAAAUGCGUAGAGAUCUGGAGGAGUACCGAUGGCGAAGACAGCGAUCUGGCCUAAUACUGACGCUGAGGUACGAAAGCAUGGGGAGCAAAGAGG